CAGGCUGAGGAAGGAAUGGAAUGAAGGUGAAGGGUGCUGUCAGUCAGCAUGCCCCAGUGCCUAGGCAACCGAGACUUCAGAGGGAUGAGAAACCAAAGCCUCAAGUCCCAUGCCUUCCCUUCUACGAGGGAAUACUUUUUAGACCUGUCAACAAAACAUCUGGCUGAGUGAAUGACAGGCCAUUUGGCAGACACAGAAAGGCCGAAGAUUUGGGGAAGAGCUUCAUCAAUACUUGGCCUCCUACUACAGUGGUCCAGGCUGUCCCUUCUCACAGCCCUCCCUCCCUCCCUCUCUGAUUCCUCUUCAUCCCAUAAGACUUAGCUGCUUUGCCUCUUCCUCUCUAUUGUUAUCCCUCUCCUCAUCUUCCUCAGACUGCAGUGGAGACUGAGCCAUCUCAGAGUGACUGAGUUACCAGAAGGACCCUCUCCAAUCUGUUUAUAAAUGUGUUUGGAGCCGGAUGUGGUGGUACCCGCCUGCAGUAGCAGCGCACGGGAGGCAGAGGCAUAGGGUUCAGACGUCCAAGGAUAUCUUCAGCUACAGAGUAAAUUUAAGGUCAGCCUGGGCUAACAUGAGACCUUGUCGUGCCAAAAAAAAAAAAAGGAUUUGGAAGUUCUAAGAAGUUUAAUUUCACUGAUACUUAAAAAUUCAGUGCUAGGAGCUAAAGAGAUGGCUUAGUGGUUAAGAGUACUGGCUCAGUUGGGGAUUUAGCUCAGUGGUAGAGCGCUUGCCUAGCAAGCGUAAGGCCCUGGGUUCGGUCCCCAGCUCCCCCCCCCCCCCCAAAAAAAAAGAGUACUGGCUGCUCUGCCAGACAGAGGACCUGGGUUUGAGUUCUCCCUACUCACAUGGUGACUCCAGUUCUUGGGGAUACAGUGCCACCUUCUGGCCUCCUGGGUACCAGGCAUGCAUAUGGUGUGAAUACAUACAUGCAGACAAAACACCCAAACAGAAUAAGAAUAUCUAGUAUGUAAGUAAAUUCAGGGUUAAAGGUAGAGUUCACAGAUAAUAGCAUUUGUCUGACCUGCACACGACUCUGGGUUUGUUCCUCAGCACUGCAAACAUAGAAAUAAAAGUUCAACAGAUCGUGAACAUUUAUAAAUACUACCACUAGUCCUGACCUCGUCAUGGCUUCAGCAUUCCUGCUCACUACUUUUCCCCUAUAGGACUAUAAGGCCCUUGAUAAGACAGGAAGAUGCUCUAUACUAAGGGUCUGCUGGCCCAUACAGGGUGUGAGACAAGCUAUGCUGGAGGCUGGAGUGAUGAGAAGACUGCAGGGGAUGAAAACACCACACAACUUUCCGGGGUGAUUGAUCAUGGCUCAGUCAAUAACGGAAAGCAAUGGUGAGGAAGGUCUUUGGACCCAGCAUUUCAGGAGACUGAUGACUAAAGAUAUGGAGCACCUUGGGUUGAGAAGGCCAAAUGUGAGCUGGGGUGCAGCUCUGUGGUACAGUUCUUGCCUCACCAUGUGGAGACCCUGUUUUAUUACCGGCAAGACACACACGCAUGGGGGAAGAUACCAAAGUCAAUUCAUCUGAACAGAGGAAACACCGAUUCCUUGUAACUGGUACCAUGGAACAGGAAGGUACUUACAGGAACUGGCCUCCCUGGGAGAAGCCAAUAGCAUUGUAUCCGUGUUGCAACUUAGGAUCCUUUUCCAGAAUCUGACAUGCCAUUCCGACUUGGAGGUUGACAUUCAAGAAGAAGCUGUUCUCCACAUCCUAAAAGAGAAGUAGAGAGGAGUGAAAAGAAGGACCUUGUACAUGAAUAGCAUCUUCUCUGAGACAGGGGCUUACACCCUCACAUGGCCACUAGACACAGCUGAGCAGGAUGGGACAAGCCUGUAGACCAAGCACUCGGGAGGAUGAGCUGGGAAGAUCAAGUUCGAGGUCAGCCUGUGCUACAGAGCAAAAGCCUACACCCCAAAUAAAAUAAAACUAAACCAGCGGGACUAUGGUUUGCUGCUAAAAAUGCAAGGUGGGCUGUUCAAAUAGCACUGUCUUUCAAACCCCUCAGAGAAUGGCCUGGGAUCUUACCUCCACCAUGUUCUUCCCAAUCUCCAGAGACAGGACGUAAAUCCCUGGUAUUUCCUUUUCAACCAUCUUUUUAAUGCUACCCAUGCUCAUGGGGUUACAGCAGCUGUCCCCUGGCCGAGAAAAACAACGGUGGAAAUUCAUGAAUGGAAACAUUAUUUAAGAAACAAAACCCUUUUAUGUCUCAAACUGAAGGGCAUGAAUGAAUGAGAAAGGAGAAUGGAGAGAACUUGUAAACACUGGUCUGAUGCCGGCCUUCUCCACCUUUUCCUACACAGCACCCUUCUCACUUUAGAAAUUCUUAACGCUACCUUGGUUAUAUGGGUGCAUAAAGUGUAUAUACAAAUCGAACAUUUACUGAUAAUGAAUCAUAAAGAGAUUUACUGUAAGAUAACUCUUUGGCAUAUAAUAAAUUUUUUACCAUU